GCUCUAUAGGGACCAGCAGGAAGAUCCACGGGGAGGUAGAGGCAAUCCGUGCUUGUACAUUUAGCAAACAACUAGAAGUUCAAGGGCCCCUGGGAAUUCUGAAAAUGAGGCAUAAGUCUCAGCCAUCAGGAUGGAGGGCAGACACAGAACUUCAACACAAUGACAGGGGCUUCAAAUGACUAAGUUCCGUCCAGGUACCCUUGGAAAGGGGAUGUACGGACACAGACACCUACAAAGGGAAGACUAUGGGAAGACAGAGACAGAAGACCACCUCCAAGCCAAGGAGUUCUGGGGGCUUCUAGAAUCCAGGAGCGAGACCUAGGUCAGAUCCUCCCUGACAGCCUUCACAGAGAUGUGUGCUGCUGCGUGGAAGAUGACUGAGCAUGAGACACGCAGUCCCCGACCGCGUGGAGCCUACGUCCUAGAGAGGAGGCACAGGAACACCAGACACAAGAACGGGAACUGAGUCACCAGCGGGGAAGACAGACCUUAACCAAGUAGCUUCACUAAGAAACAGAAGUGAUUAAAAGGGAAGAAACGUGGUUGUCUUAAGGCAAGUCACAAAAGAAUAUGAUGUGCUCUGGGGUAACCAAGGCAGGCUUCCCUGAGGAAGUGACCCCUGAACUGAGACCUAAAGACUGAUUCAGAGUUAAUGCAUCAUACAGCCCCAGAUGGAGAAUCAGCAUGUGCAAACGUCCAGAAGAAACCUACAGCAAGACCAGCACAGCCCAACAGCCCCAGAGAGGAGCCCCACGUCCUUUAGGGUGAGCCCAGGGCUGACCUAAGGAGAUCCACAACAUGGCUGAGAAAGACGGGGCUGUUGUCUAGGGCCCACCUGUGGCUGCAGGGUAUAGGCAGCUUCCAGCAGGUACUGUCGGAGCCUCGGGUCCCGUUUCUGCAGCGUCACGGAGGCGAACACAGGCAAUGAGAGCAAGUAGGGCUGGCCAGGCACCGGCCAGGUCACUCCAGUGCACAGUCGCCAGCCCCAGGUGUAGGACACUGCAGAGAGAGCUUGUGGAUUCAGUCACAUGACCAUACCCUCCCUCUUUCCCCUCCAGCCCGCUUCUCCCCUUUAAACAAAGGGAUGGAGAGCAUUAGGACAAAUACCUAAUGCAUGCGGGGCUUAUAACCUAGAUGACAGGUUGAUGGGUGCAGCAAACCACCAUGGCACAUGUACACCUAUGUAACAAACCUGCAUGUUCUGCACAUGU